AGAUGCUGAUGUGCAGGCAGGCAGGCAGGCAGGCAGGCAGGCAGGCACCCCUGCAAUUACCUUGCCUCAGUCUAAACCCCUCCCUUCCUCUGCACCAGCUGUCUGUCUCUCUCCAUCUCCCUCUCUCCCUCCCCUCCAGCCUCCGAUUCCAGGCAGCACCAUCGCUGUCCCCAUUUCCCCCUCCAUCACCAUGUUGGACAUUUUCAUCCUCAUGUUUUUUGCCAUUAUCGGCCUGGUUGUUUUAUCCUACAUCAUCUAUAUGUUGUAGAAUCUCCAGCCACGCCACCAGCAAAGCCUAUGGAGGGCGGCCAAGCAAGGAGACUGCUUUUCUCGAUUCACGCUGUUAUCUCAGCAAUACUGCAGAUGGGAGAAACCACCUUGGAGGAGAUCUCAGCGGCGUGGUCCUCUAGAGUUCUUCCAGAGAAUAGAGUUCUUCCAGAGCAUUCUCGAGAAAGGUUAACCCUUUGCACGACCAAAUGGCAAAGAGAAGAAUGAUUCAGCCCAACGCCCUGAAGAUGCCCCUUGAGAUUUCAAAGGAUUUGGGCUGGAAUUGCAACGGGAACAACAAGGGAACAAGGCCAGGGGUGGACAAAAAUGGACAGCAAGAGAAAGGUGACUGAAAGGUUCUAAGAGGAAAAAGGGGUAAAGCUAUUGCUUGGACUACCCUACUGUUGUUGUUUUUUUAAAAAAGAGCUUUUCUAUAUGUGAAAAUAUGCAGCCUUUGAAUGGAAAAAAUAGUAUUUUCUUUCAUUUGUAAGUUCUGGGUUUGUUUGUUUUUUAGUAAAAAGGAAUCUGGGAAAAUACGGAUUUCUAAAGGCCAAAUGGUGGCAGGGCUGGGGGGAGAGACACAGAUGGAUAACCAAACGUAUUCUAGCUAAUGUUUGUCAUGCUAAGGUCCCAAUAUGGACAACACAGUCUCUGUGCAGAAAUGGGUUUUGGCAUGGACAUCAUCUAUCAGGUGGAGAAGGGUUGGGGCAGCACACCCAGCAGCUCAGUAGUAUAUUCAAAACACCCCACAUUUCCCUGUGUGGAAGCUUGUACAUGAAACACUAUGUCUCUGAGAGGUGUGGCUUUGUGCUGCUACUGCUGUUCAGGGGACCAGAAUGCUUAUUUUUGCCUUUUUUUAAAAAAAGAAAAAUUUCCAGAAAAUAUUUUUUAUACAUAGUUGCUUUCUCCCCUAUAUCUUUCCAAGCUGGUCAGAUUUUUGCACAGGGACAUGAAAGCCACAUGCGAAAUACGUAGAAAGGAGUGUGUCCUUUGGGUUGAUAUGAAAGCUUAGGGAUUCUCUUUCUCCAAUAUGUCACAUGUUCAUAAUUUCUAUGAAUAUGAGAGAAACGUGAAAAGGAAGUAUUGUUUGAAAGCUGUCAGAUGGACUUAUCUCCCUCCCUCCCAUUCCAAAGGAAAAUGUUUCUGCGAUGACUUCAGAGCACUAAAAUGCCAGAAUAUUGGCUCAGUACAGUUACUAAUACAGAUAAAAAAUUUGACAUAGUGCAAAUUCUUGUGUGAAAAUAAUGUCCUUGCAAACUGUUGCAGGUUGUAACUUUUUGCCUCCACAUCCAAACUGAUACUCUCAGCUAGGCAAGGAGGAGAGAUUUGAAGUAACAUUUAAAGGUGAAUUUACCCAAUCUGUGCUUUCUGAAACAAUAAGUGAACUGGAACACAGCCAUCCUUUGAAAUGUGGACUUCUCCAAAUUUUGCAAUGCUGUUUGCCAGCCAAGUGAUGCGUAGAAAAAUGUAUGUGCUAGGGUUGUAAAGUGUGCAUCAAAAUACAUAUAUUAGUGAAAAUAACUUACAGAAAUGUAUAUGAUGAGAAAUAUGCUUUGCAAAGCAAGUAUUCGGCAAAAUGGCAAGCCAGCGUAUUAGGAGAAAUUUGCACUGAAAGGCUGAUGAGUUUCCUUGGACUUUUUAAAAACAAAACAAAACCAAGAAUCAUAAAUUGAUAUGGAAAUGUGGAGAGCUGAAUUUAAGAUCGGAAGAAGCAGAAGGAAACUGAAACUGACAGAUUUACCCCGUUCCUACUUUCAGACUGGAAACAAAACUAUCUCUAAUGUGCAGGACCCAAUAUAUAAGCUCCAUGGUUUGUGUUUUUUUUGUUUCCUUGUAUUUUUGGAAUGUGUAAAAUGACACAAGAGGCAGAACCAAACAUAUUCCCUCACACAAACAGUAGUUUUUGGAAGGUUUGAAAUGUAAAAAUUAAUAAUUUAAUGUGAAUAAACUUCAAGGCACCUUG